rnacentral:rRNA from 1 species
CAGCAGCCGCGGUAAAACGGAGGGGGCUAGCGUUGUUCGGAAUUACUGGGCGUAAAGCGCACGUAGGCGGCUUUGUAAGUUAGAGGUGAAAGCCUGGGGCUCAACUCCAGAAUUGCCUUUAAGACUGCAUCGCUUGAACGUCGGAGAGGUGAGUGGAAUUCCGAGUGUAGAGGUGAAAUUCGUAGAUAUUCGGAAGAACACCAGUGGCGAAGGCGGCUCACUGGACGACUGUUGACGCUGAGGUGCGAAAGCGUGGGGAGCAAACAGGAUUAGAGACCCGCGUAGUCCCUGUCUCUUAUAC